rnacentral:misc_RNA from 1 species
GUAUUUGGGGGUUUUACGGCAAGAGUCCCUCCGGAUCCCAGUGCGAGACGUUAGUUACUACGCAAAGGAGGCUCCGGGAGGGUCCGCCACUACCUUUAAGGGCCCACGUCUGCCGUGGGGCCCCAAAACCAAGCGGUGCUUGAGGGUUGAAAUGACGCUCGAACAGGCAUGCUCGCCAGAAUGCUGGCGAGCGCAAUGUGCGUUCAAAGAUUCGAUGAUUCACUGAAUUCUGCAAUUCACAUUACUUAUCGCAUUUCGCUGCGUUCUUCAUCGAUGCCAGAACCAAGAGAUCCGUUGUUAAAAGUUUUAAUUAUUUGCUUGUGCCACUCAGAAGAGACGUCGUGUAAAUAGAGUUUGGUUUCCUCCGGCGGGCGCCCCGUCCCCGUGGUGGGGCCGGCGCCGGGAGGGGAGGCCCGCGAGAGGCUUCCCCUGCCCGCCGAAGCAACGGUUAGGUAUGUUCACAAAGGGUUGUAGAGCGGUAACUCAGUAAUGAUCCCUCCGCUGGUUCACCAACGGAGACCUUGUUACGA